GACCGAGGCCUCAAGCGUUAGGCGGAAUCACUGGGCUUACCGCGUGUGUAGGCGGAUCGUUAAGUGUCUUGUGAAAUCCCACGGCUCACCCGUGGAACUGCUGGGCAUACUGGCGAUCUUGGGCCAACUAGGGGCAACUGGAACAAGCGGUGGAGCGGUGAAAUGCGUAGAUAUCGCUUGGAACGCCGAAGGUGAAAACAGGUUGCUGGGGUUGUGCCGACGCUGAGACACGAAAGCCAGGGGAGCAAACGGG
rnacentral:rRNA from 1 species